UACGUAGGGCGCAAGCGUUGUCCGGAAUUUUUGGGCGUAAAGAGCUCGUAGGCGGUCUGUCGCGUCCGUUGUGAAAACUCGAGGCUCAACCUCGGGCUUGCAGUGGAUACGGGCAGACUAGAGUGCGGUAGGGGAGACUGGAAUUCCUGGUGUAGCGGUGGAAUGCGCAGAUAUCAGGAGGAACACCGAUGGCGAAGGCAGGUCUCUGGGCCGCAACUGACGCUGAGGAGCGAAAGCAUGGGGAGCGAACAGG
rnacentral:rRNA from 1 species